rnacentral:rRNA from 1 species
UACGUAGGGGGCAAGCGUUGUCCGGAUUUAUUGGGCGUAAAGAGCGUGUAGGCGGCCAGGGAGGUCCGUUGUGAAAACUCGAGGCUCAACCUCGAGACGCCGAUGGAAACCCCCUGGCUAGAGUCCGGAAGAGGAGAGUGGAAUUCCUGGUGUAGCGGUGAAAUGCGCAGAUAUCAGGAAGAACACCCGUGGCGAAGGCGGUUCUCUGGGACGGUACUGACGCUGAGACGCGAAAGCGUGGGGAGCGAACAGG